rnacentral:rRNA from 1 species
GACGAACCGUGCGAACGUUGUUCGGAAUCACUGGGCUUAAAGGGCGCGUAGGCGGGCUAUCAAGUCAGGGGUGAAAGCCCACGGCUCAACCGUGGAAGUGCCUUUGAUACUGGUAGUCUGGAGGGAGGUAGGGGCGUGCGGAACUUCCGGUGGAGCGGUGAAAUGCGUAGAUAUCGGAAGGAACACCGGGUGGCGAAAGCGGCACGCUGGACCUCUUCUGACGCUGAGGCGCGAAAGCCAGGGGAGCAAACGGGGAUUAAGAUACCCUG